AACUUUGCGCGGUGGCAGUAUCGUAGCCAAUGAGGUUUAUCCGAGGCACGAUUAUUGCUAAUUGAAAAAGGAAAGUAAAGCUGGUGGCAUUACAAUCCCGGACUUCCAGCUCUAUUACAAAGCUGUCAUCAUC
rnacentral:snRNA from 1 species